GAUGAACGCUAGCGGCAGGCUUAACACAUGCAAGUCGAGGGGUAUAGGAAGCUUGCUUCCUAGAGACCGGCGCACGGGUGCGUAACGCGUAUGCAACCUACCUUUUACAGAGGGAUAGCCCAGAGAAAUUUGGAUUAAUACCUCAUGGUAUAUAUCAUUCGCAUGUUUGAUAUAUUAAAGUUCCAACGGUAAAAGAUGGGCAUGCGUCCUAUUAGCUAGAUGGUAAGGUAACGGCUUACCAUGGCAACGAUAGGUAGGGGUCCUGAGAGGGAGAUCCCCCACACUGGUACUGAGACACGGACCAGACUCCUACGGGAGGCAGCAGUGAGGAAUAUUGGACAAUGGGCGCAAGCCUGAUCCAGCCAUGCCGCGUGCAGGAAGAAGCAUCUAUGGUGUGUAAAACUGCUUUUGUACGGGAAGAAACACUCCCUUUCGUGAAGGAGCUUGACGGUACCGUAAGAAUAAGGGAUCGGCUAAACUCCGUGCCAGC
rnacentral:rRNA from 1 species